rnacentral:rRNA from 1 species
GACGAACGCUGGCGGCGUGCCUAAUACAUGCAAGUCGAACGAGUGGCGGACGGGUGAGUAAUGUCUGGGAAACUGCCCGAUGGAGGGGGAUAACUACUGGAAACGGUAGCUAAUACCGCAUACCAUCGGAUGUGCCCAGAUGGGAUUAGCUAGUAGGUGGGGUAACGGCUCACCUAGGCGACGAUCCCUAGCUGGUCUGAGAGGAUGACCAGCCCACCUGUAACUGGGACACGUCCCAGACUCCAACGGGAGUCAGCAGUGGGGAAUUUUGCACAAUGGGCGCAAGCCUGAUGCAGCCAUGCCGCGUGUAUGAAGAAGGCCUUCGGGUUGUAAAGUACUUACAGCGAGGAGACGUUACUCGCAGAAGAAGCACCGGCUAACUCCGUGCCAGCGGCCGCGGUAAUC